UACGGGGGGAGCAAACGUUGUUCGGAAUCACUGGGCGUAAAGGGCGUGUAGGCGGCUGAAUAAGUGGGAUGUUAAAUCCCCCGGCUCAACCGGGGACCUGCAUCUCAUACUGUUCAGCUCGAGCACAUCAGAGGAGACUGGAAUUCCACGUGUAGCAGUGAAAUGCGUAGAGAUGUGGAGGAACACCGAUGGCGAAGGCAGCCCCCUGGGCUAACACUGACGCUCAGGCACGAAAGCGUGGGGAGCAAACAGG
rnacentral:rRNA from 1 species